rnacentral:rRNA from 1 species
UACGGAGGGUGCAAGCGUUAUCCGGAAUCACUGGGUUUAAAGGGUGCGUAGGCGGCUUGGUAAGUCAGAGGUGAAAGCUUCCCGCUUAACGGGAGAACUGCCUUUGAUACUGCCAGGCUUGAAUCGGCGCGAGGCAGGCGGAAUGUGACAUGUAGCGGUGAAAUGCUUAGAUAUGUCAGAGAACACCGAUUGCGAAGGCAGCCUGCCAGAGCCGAAUUGACGCUGAGGCACGAAAGAGUGGGGAGCGAACAGG